AUCGCUAUAAACUCCAAUAAACAUGUGUCGAACUUAUGUUGUCACUCGGACGCUUCCUUGUAAAACGUAUAUUGAAGUUAAGCGCUGUGAUGAUCUCGACCUCGACAUGAGUUUACUAACAACAGACGAUAUAUUCCCAUACUUUAAUCUGAAUUAUUUGAAAUCGUGAACAUAAAAAGAAAACGUGCAUUGGUCGGUUCCUCGUCUGAAAAUACAUCCAUAUUAAACAAUAGGCGUAUGACAGACGAGGCCAAAACCUCUGGUCAGAUUACAUGUUUAUCGUUCGGUUCACCUAUGACCUCGUUUGUUUACCUUGCUCCCGAGAUGUGACGAGAGUGCUCCUCGAGCUCGUGCGAUCUAAAUGUGCACGAUGCAAGUAUUAAAUACUGUAAUAUUUAUCUUAAAAGUAUGACACAAUAGAAGUUUAUGAUUAAGAAUAAAAAAACACGCACAAGUAAAAAUGAAUCGUGUUAAUCUCUGGCAGUAAAAUAUUUAUCCCAUGAUGCAACACACACGAGUUUAGCGGGAAGUCUGAUAGCCAUGUUUGAAUUCACCGGAUGUUUAUUCCAGAAGAAAAGUAUAAACAAACACGACGAUAGCCUAAAAACGAUGCUUGUUUCCCGUCUUACUGAAGAAGAUCGACUUACUUCAAGUUACCGACGAAUGAAUAUCAGCUUUCUCGUUUUUGACGACCGAUGCAUAUUUUUACCGACAUACAUCGUUACGAGACAGGGGUUUUGAUGAUUAAUUUAUCACAGAUUACACGGCCGAAGGAAACGCAGUACCGAUCCAUGUGUUACAAUCAGACUGAGUCUUCAUGCAGUACAUUCUGGAAUGAGGAACACACCGCAUGCAUUGUGGUCCAAAUUGAUGGCAUUGACUUAACACAAAGCAGAAAGGAUGAAGAGAAAUUAAGAAGUUUAUGUUUCACAUUAAUUAAGAUUAUUCGAGAUAUGUUAUCUGUCGAGGUAUACAACAUUUCCUUUCAUAAUAAAAGUGUAAACAUUAAUAUAUAUACAAAAAAAAAUCAUGUACCGUAUAUAAUCUAAAAAUCCUUGUUAGUUAUUUGUUGUACUAGCAAAAAAUAUAAUAUAGUCGUCUCAAGCUUGGUUGUAUUGAAAUCCCCAGGGACAGUGACAGAGAUAUAUCACUACAGUACGUGCUACAUCAAACACACACCAUUGUUCAAAUUGUCA